GUGCGUGUUUUGCUACACUUCCCCUCUCUUUUAAUUUUUCUGGCAAAUCUUUGCUGGGCCUGCUACAUGUGAUCUUCUGAGACAAGACCCAGCUGGUAGCAGUAACAUUCUGGCUCUCAGUGAUCCUAGGAUGGCCCUAGACAAGGUCCGCAAGCCUUACAAUUCCCACCAGGAGUGUGUGGUUUGUUUUCCUUAUUGUACGGUUUCUGCCUAAGUUGACUCUGACAAGGGAGUGAAGGAGGUAAUCUGAGGUAGUCCAAUGUGCCUUGGACACUCAUCAAAUCUCUAUCAUUUGUAAAGGCCUUAUUGGUUAUUCUCCAUUCUCUUGGGACAAUCACCCAGAGAACUAUAGCAAAGCAAGGGCUGGGGUAAGCAGCCUGAGAAAAGCACAAAAAUCAAGGGAAGUACUGCAUUGAAGUGUGAAGCAGUCCUGUGAACGGCGUCCUCAGGCUUCUGCUGUGUGUGGACUGGUCAGCAUUGGAGUGACCAGACCAAGGUUUUGAAUGCACUGUCUCUUCAGAGUAAGCCCUGGAGGAUUUGUCUAGACCUGGUAAAUUCUCCAGAACUCUGUAAUGGUGGACCUAAAACUGGAUUUCUGAAACUUGUAGAGGUUAGAAUUCACUGAAUAUCUGUUCCAGUUUACAAAGGAUUCACGGAAGCCGUGCGGGAACGAGGAAGAAAACGUUCCUUUUCAUUUCUACGUGUGAACUCCCAGAACUCACUGUUGGGAGGUUAAUGUUUUCCUAAUUUUAAGCACUUUAAGGUUGCUUUCACAUCCAUUUCCCAGUUUUCAUACAUUUCCAAAAGAUAGCGCUGUCAAAAUUUAGGAGCGACCUGAUUCAUGGAAAUGACAGUUAGCCAAAUGUUCAGGCCUCAGUACACAGGUCAGAAAACAUCUGAGCACUUUGAUCCUUGCUCAGAAUAGCCGACCACAAGCCGGAGGCACUCCCCUGUGAUGACACACCAAGGACAUCGCGGCUGCGUCAGAACUGCCGGAUCCCACGCUCACCUCCCGCUGCACACAGGGGGAGCAGCGGGUGGAUGGAAGAUUCUCUCUCAGGCUUCUGGUGCCAAGAUAGGAUGGCCUCGUGGUUUGAUGCGUGUCAGUCGCUGCUCUCUGGGACAGCCAGCCUGACCGUGUUAGGUCCACACCUGUUAGCUUCCUCCAAGAAGGCUGUUUGGAUUCAUAUAUUUUUCCCAAAGUGUAAGAAAAGUUCUUUACGAGCCAUUAAUACAGCCAGUUGGACUGGACAGUUGCUCUCCGAUACAGCAAGCUCUUCCCACCUCUGAUGCCGCAGACUGUGGACAACAAGGAUUUAGAAAGCUGCUUGUGGCACAGCCCGGGGGCCCUUGCUUCCACCUUCUCUGUGGCAUCCUCACUUUUGGCAGGAUAAAUUCCCAGCUUUUAUUUUCAAACCUAGGAGUCAUUUCUGAAAGAGCUCUGAACCUUAGAGCUCUAUGUGACGAUAUAGAAGGCUAGAUUUGUGUUUAGCUACUUCCUAACAAAUAUUACAAAUACACAAUAUCUGUAAACUAAUUAUUACAAUUAAAGAAGGUCA